UACGGAGGGUGCAAGCGUUAUCCGGAUUCACUGGGUUUAAAGGGUGCGUAGGUGGGUCUGUAAGUCUGUGGUGAAAUCUCUGAGCUUAACUCGGAAACUGCCAUGGAUACUAUAGAUCUUGAAUACCGUGGAGGAUAGCGGAAUAUGUCAUGUAGCGGUGAAAUGCUUAGAUAUGACAUAGAACACCAAUUGCGAAGGUAGCUGUCUACCCGAAUAUUGACACUGAGGCACGAAAGCGUGGGGAUCAAACAGG
rnacentral:rRNA from 1 species